rnacentral:misc_RNA from 4 species
AAUACUUCAACCCUCCUCUUUCUUAAUGAUUGAAGAGGUGUUUGGUUUCUGAGCGCUGCUGGCCUUUACGGUCUAGCUCGUUCGUAAUGCAUUAGCAUCCGCAAUCGAACUUCGGAUUGACUUGGCGUAAUAGACUAUUCGCUGAGGAAUUCUAGUCUUCGGAUUAGAGCCGGGUUGGGUUAAAGGAAGCUUCUAAUCAGAAUGUCUACAUUUUAAG